rnacentral:rRNA from 1 species
GAUGAACGCUGGCGGCGUGCCUAAUACAUGCAAGUCGAGCGAACAGAUAAGGAGCUUGCUCCUUUGACGUUAGCGGCGGACGGGUGAGUAACACGUGGGUAACCUACCUAUAAGACUGGAAUAACUCCGGGAAACCGGGGCUAAUGCCGGAUAACAUUUAGAACCGCAUGGUUCUAAAGUGAAAGAUGGUUUUGCUAUCACUUAUAGAUGGACCCGCGCCGUAUUAGCUAGUUGGUAAGGUAACGGCUUACCAAGGCAACGAUACGUACCCGACCUGAGAGGGUGAUCGGCCACACUGGAACUGAGACACGGUCCAGACUCCUACGGGAGGCAGCAGUAGGGAAUCUUCCGCAAUGGGCGAAAGCCUGACGGAGCAACGCCGCGUGAGUGAUGAAGGUCUUCGGAUCGUAAAACUCUGUUAUUAGGGAAGAACAAAUGUGUAAGUAACUGUGCACGUCUUGACGGUACCUAAUCAGAAAGCCACGGCUAACUACGUG